GACGAACGCUGGCGGCGUGCUUAACACAUGCAAGUCGAACGGAGUGGCGAACGGGUGAGUAACACGUGGGUGAUCUGCCUUGCACUUCGGGAUAAGCUUGGGAAACUGGGUCUAAUACCGGAUAGUGCAAGAUGAGCUCGCGGCCUAUCAGCUUGUGGGUGGGGUAAUGGCCUACCAAGGCGUCGACGGGUAGCCGGCCUGAGAGGUUGUACGGCCACAUUGUGACUGCGGUACGGAGCAGACUGCUACGGGGGGCAGCGGUUGGGAGUAUUGCACACUGGUGGUGCGCCUGAUGCGGCGGCGCCGCGUGGGUGAUGAAGUCUUUCGGGUUGUAAACUCCUUUCGGCUGGGACGCGGUACCUGUAUAAGAAGCACCGGCUAACUACGUGCCAGCAGCCGCGGUAAUUC
rnacentral:rRNA from 1 species